AAAUGAAUUGACGGGGGCCCGCACAAGCGGUGGAGUAUGUGGUUUAAUUCGAAGCAACGCGAAGAACCUUACCAGGUCUUGACAUGGUGUCAAAGGCUCUAGAGAUAGAGAGAUAGUUAUGGCACACACAGGUGGUGCAUGGUUGUCGUCAGCUCGUGUCGUGAGAUGUUGGGUUAAGUCCCGCAACGAGCGCAACCCUUGUCGUUAGUUACCAUCAUUCAGUUGGGGACUCUAGCGAGACUGCCGGUGACAAACCGGAGGAAGGUGGGGAUGACGUCAAAUCAUCAUGCCCCUUAUGGCCUGGGCUACACACGUACUACAAUGGCGAGAACAACGGGAAGCGACACAGUGAUGUGAAGCGGAUCCUUUAAAACUCGUCUCAGUUCGGAUCGAAGUCUGCAACUCGACUUCGUGAAGUUGGAAUCGCUAGUAAUCGCGGAUCAGCAUGCCGCGGUGAAUACGUUCUCGGGCCUUGUACACACCGCCCGU
rnacentral:rRNA from 1 species